GAUUGGCUAACAAGAAUGCCAAGCAAAUAGUUGUGCUUUUAUAUUCCUCCUCAAGACAACAACUCGUAUGGCCAUGUCCCAUUGAAGAUCAGGCGAGGAUAUGAGAAGGGGGGAGUGAGAGAGCGGAGAGGGAGUGUUGUGUGAAAAGACUAGGGCAACCAACGAGACAAAAGAGGCUGCGGCUGUAUUGAAUGUGACGGUGUCCGUCUCGGAAGCCACAUAGUAUAACAAGCCACAGCCACGUUUUUCUUUAUGAAAGACGGUGAGAAUACACUGAAGAGGGAACGGUUUACGCGAAGAGCGACCGAUGUUUUAAUUAUUCGAAGUAUCGAGGACUUGAAACAUCUUGGACUGGGCGCAUCUUUACUACGUGGAGUGUUCUGUGGGUUGGAGAUUUACCAGAACAAAGGGAGUCUUGAGCAAGGAAUGAGCGAGCCUAGACGAGCUUUGCCAUAACCGCCACCGAAACCAGGCCAAAUGCGUUUCUGAAACAAACAGUCGACCGUUUUCGUGUUUUGUUGUCCAAGCCGUUUCGCUGUAAGAGAGAAGACGAUAAAAAAAACAACAGCCAGGCGCCGACAAUGUUUCCUCAAAACCGACCCCCGGCACCUCUCCAGCCACCCCCCGGGUCCUCGGCGGCUGCGGCCUCGGGGACGCCCCAGUCCCUCAAGCUCACCUACCCAGAGACCCUGGACCGCAUCAAGGAGGAGUUCCAGUUCCUGCAGACACAGUACCACAGCCUGAAGCUGGAGUGUGAGAAGCUGGCCACGGAGAAGACUGAGAUCCAGAGGCACUACGUCAUG